UACGGAGGGGGCUAGCGGUGUUCGGAAUUACUGGGCGUAAAGCGCACGUAGGCGGCUUGGUAAGUUAGAGGUGAAAGCCUGGAGCUCAACUCCAGAAUUGCCUUUAAGACUGCCGAGCUAGCAGGUGAGAGAGGUGAGUGGAAUUCCGAGUGUAGAGGUGAAAUUCGUAGAUAUUCGGAAGAACACCAGUGGCGAAGGCGGCUCACUGGCUCAUACUGGACGCUGAGGUGCGAAAGCGUGGGGAGCAAACAGG
rnacentral:rRNA from 1 species